GGGUCUCCCUUUUAUAGACGGAGGGUGCAAUAGACUGAUAGCGACGUUUGUAACCGCCUGACAGUGGGCCGCUAGGAGUCAGGAGGAGUUUGUUAUGAAGUGUAGUGGAGUGGAAUCGUGGCCAUCACCAAGACCUACCACGUGGAGUCUGUUGUGGGGAGUGGAGUGACAUCCAUUGUCGUGACUUGCCAGUGGGUGGAGGAACCGUGCGGUAUCCGUCGCAGGAAGCGGAGCAGAGUCG
rnacentral:lncRNA from 1 species